ACGAACGCUGGCGGCGUGCUUAACACCUGCAAGUCGAACGCUGAAGCUCAGCUUUUGUUGGGUGGAUGAGUGGCGAACGGGUGAGUAACACGUGAGUAACCUGCCUCCUUCUUUGGGAUAACGCCCGGAAACGGGUGCUAAUACUGGAUAUUCACUGGUCUUCGCAUGGGGGUUGGUGGAAAGGGUUUUUCUGGUGGGGGAUGGGCUCGCGGCCUAUCAGCUUGUUGGUGGGGUGAUGGCCUACCAAGGCUUUGACGGGUAGCCGGCCUGAGAGGGUGACCGGUCACAUUGGGACUGAGAUACGGCCAAGACUCCUACGGGAGGCAGCAGUGGGGAAGAUUGCACAAUGGGCGCAAGCCUGAUGCAGCGACGCCGCGUGAGGGAUGGAGGCCUUCGGGUUGUGAACCUCUUUCGCUCAUGGUCAAGCCGCAACAAUGGUUGUGGUGAGGGUAGUGGGUAAAGAAGCGCCGGCUAACUACGUG
rnacentral:rRNA from 1 species